UACGUAGGGUGCGAGCGUUAAUCGGAAUUACUGGGCGUAAAGCGUGCGCAGGCGGUUUUGUAAGCCAGAUGUGAAAUCCCCGGGCUUAACCUGGGAAUGGCAUUUGGGACUGCAAGGCUGGAGUGCGGCAGAGGAGACUGGAAUUCCUAGUGUAGAGGUGAAAUUCGUAGAUAUUAGGAAGAACACCAGUGGCGAAGGCGGCUCACUGGCCCGGUACUGACGCUCAUGUGCGAAAGCGUGGGGAGCAACAGGGAUUAAGAAACCCUUGGUAGU
rnacentral:rRNA from 1 species